UAUUUUUGAGAUGAGUCAUAA
rnacentral:piRNA from 1 species